CCUGGUUGAUCAUGCAGUAAGCAUAUGCUUGUCUCCAAGAUUAAGCCAUGCACAUGUAAGUACACAGGGCCUGUACAGUGACACUGUGAUUGGCUUAUUAUCAGUUAUGGUUCCUUUGGUUGCGCCAUCUGUUACUUGGAUAACUGUGGUAAUUCUAGAGCUAAUGCAUGCCAAUGAGCGCUGACUUCCCUAGAUGCAUGCAUUUAUCAGACCAAGACUAACCUAGGCGUGCCCUGCCGCUUUGGUGAAUCUUGAUAACCUUAAGCUGAUUGCAUGUCCUCAUGAUGAAGACAAUGCAUUUGGAUGUCUGUCCUAUGAACUUUCGAUGGUACUUUCUGUGCCUACAGUGGGACCAUGGGUAAUGGAGAAACAGGGUCCAAUGUCAGGGAGGGAUCCUGAGAAAUGGCGAGCACAUCCAAGGAAGGCAGCAGGCACGCAAAUUACCACUCCUGACUCGGGGAGGGCAAGUCCAUUGCGAGCAGCCGCGAUACUGCCAUCUCCAAUAGCAUAUAUUAAAGUUGUUGCAGUUAAAAAGCUCCUAGUUGGAUUGUGUGAUCUAGAUGGCGUCCGCUGUGAGGCGAGCUAUCACCUGUCCCUGCCCCUGCCUCUCUGUGCCCCCUUGAUGCUCUUGACUGAGUCUCCUGGGGGUCCAAACCAUAUACUUGGAAAAUAUGUGUGUUUUCAAAGCAGGCUGGUCACCUGAAUACUUCAGCUAGGAAUAAUGGAAUAGGACUCUAGUUCUAUUUUGUUUUUUUUUAAGAACUGGAGCCAUGAUUAAAAGGGACGGCCGGGGGCAUUCGUAUUGUGCCCCUACAGGUGAAAUUCUUGGACUGGCGCAAGACGAACCUAAGCAAAAGCAUUUGCCAAGAAUGUUAAUCAAGAAUGAAAGAUGGAGGUUUGAAGACGAUCAGAUACCGUUGUAGUUCCGACCAUAAAAUAUGCUGACUAAUGAUCUGGCAGCAUCAUUCCCAUGACCCUGCUGAGCAAAUUUUGGGUUCUGGGGGAGUAUGGUUGCAAAGCUGAAACUUAAAGGAAUUGAUGGAAGGGCACCAUCAGGAGUAGAGCCUGUGGUUUAAUUUCACUCAACAUGGGAAAACACACACCGGCCGGACACAGAAAGGAUUGACAGAUUGACAGCUCCUUCUCGAUUCUGUGGGUGGUGGUCCAUUUCCGUUCUUAGUUGAUUGAGUGAUUUGUCUGGUUAAUUCCAAUAACAAUCGAGACUCCUCCAUGCUACUAGUUGUGUGACCCCAGCAGUCGGCGUUCAAUUUCUCAGAGGGACAAGUGGCAUUCAGCCACACGAGAUCGAGCAAUAACAGGUCUGUGAUUCCCUUAGAUAUCCAGGGCUGCAAGCAUGUUACACUGAACAGAUCAGCAUGUGUCUAUGCUUCACCGACAGAUACGGGUAACCCGCUGAACCCAGUUUAUGAUAGAGAUUGUGGAUUACAAUUAUUUCCCAUUAAAGAGGAAUUCACAGUAAGUGCAGGUUAUAAGCUCGCGUUGAUUAAGUUCCUGCCCUUUGUACACAUCACCCGUUGCUACUACCGAUUGGAUAGUUUAGUGAGGUCUGCAGAGCGGCCCUGCUGGGGUUGGCAAUGGCCCAGGUGGCGUUCCGCAAAGAUCAUCAAACUUGACUAUCUAGAGGAAGAAAAAAUUGUGACAAGGUUUUCCAUAGGUGAACCUGCAGAAA
rnacentral:rRNA from 1 species